rnacentral:lncRNA from 1 species
GAAAGAUCUCCCAUGCUCAUGGAUUGGCAGGAUUAAUUUAGUAAAAAUGGCCAUUUUACCAAAAGCAAUCUACAGAUUCAAUGCAAUCCCCAUCAAAAUACCAAUCCAAUUCUUCAAAGAGUUAGACAGAACAAUUUGCAAAUUCAUCUGGAAUAACAAAAAACCCAGGAUAGCUAAAGCUAUCCUCAACAAUAAAAGGACUUCAGGGGGAAUCACUAUCCCUGAACUCAAGCAGUAUUACAGAGCAAUAGUGAUAAAAAAACUGCAUGGUAUUGGUACAGAGACAGACAGAUAGACCAAUGGAAUAGAAUUGAAGACCCAGAAAUG